GGCAUUGUAGCCAAGUGGUUACGGCGCUGGCCUGCUAAUUCUCAAUGAGUUAUCAUAUAGCCAGUCCCUUCGGGGGCGCAGGUUCGAAUCCUGUCAAUGUCG